AGAGGUUAGAUUUGGAUCAUAUUGGAUUUGUAAUGUUUAUGGUAUAUAUAUGUUUUUUUUUUUUGUGAUAGAAAAAAAUUAAAGGAAAAGUUAAAUUAAAAGUGGUGGGACCCACCACUUAUACAAAUUGUGGCCAAAAGGCUAUGUUGGCCUUUACAUUUUCACUCACUCCCGUAAGCUCUUUAUCUCUCCCCCUUCUUGAUCCAUUUUUUUUUCUUUUCAAAACAAAAAUUUAAUCAUUGAUUUCUCCUUCAUCUUUUGGUAUUUUUGGGAGUCGUUUGCAGCAAAACGAAGAGCGCAUCGAGAUCUACAAUUUGAUCGGAGCAAAAGUAGUUUUGAUGCACUCUAGGGAUUUCAAAUUUAGGACCCAUUUUGAAGAUUUUUCUAUAAAAUUGAGGAUACGGGAAGGAAGUGGCAGACGACGCUCCUCCACAUGUCUUGAUGGGAUACGGGAAGGAAGUGGCGGACGACACUCCUCCACAAGUCUUGAUGGAUUAGUGCACUAUUUUGACAUACUUUGUAGUUAUGAUCUCAUUUAAUUAUUAUUAUUUUUAUUUUUUUAUUUUUUUAUAAACCCUGAAAUAACACGUAUAAUAUGCAUUGACAUAGGAAAGGACAGUAGUGUCCUUAGUUGACCUCGAGUUCGGGUAUGGACCUGGUUAGCGAUUCGAACCCACGGGUUCGGGUCGUUACAGGAUUUAAUCCAAAUAACCUCUUAAAUCUUUUAAUUUUUAUUAUUUUAUAUUGUAAGGACACGUGUUCCACUAAUUUUGUGCCACA